rnacentral:lncRNA from 1 species
UAAUAUUAGUAUUUGACCAUGAGGUUAAAGGCCCUUUAUCAUAAAAUAAAAUAUACUUUGUUUUUAAACUUUGCUCAGUAAAGUACAUUUAAGCUCAAGUAACGUCACCUACAUAUACAUAAACAAGUGGUAAACAAAUGUAUUAAAAUAGAAAUACUAAAACUAUAGUGGUGCAACAGAAUUUUUGUAAUUUCCACUGAAUUCUAUUUAUACAAAUGUUAGAAAGCUUCAACAGUUCCUUUUGACAUAUGUUUAUACAUUUCCAUUUUUGUAAUAAUAUAGAAUAAAAUAUGCUUUAUAUCACUGAAUAGAAAAUAUGCUGGGUGAAGCAGAUUUAAAAGAUUUUUUUCUGAACCUAUAAAAUCUCCAUCCCAACAGAAUACUGUUCAAAGCAUUACACAUUUUAUGGUUUGUAAUUCUGUUCACAAUAGUGUGAUAUUAAAAUAAUACAGUGUUCUUUGCCAUAAGGCCAUACUAAAAUAAAAAAGAUUUAACCCAGCUACAAAAAGUUCACUGAACUUAAAUUAAAAUACUUGUAAACAUCUUUGCAAUAUGAAAUAUAAUUUUUCAAGUCAAAAAAGAAUAAAAUACUUCAAUCUGUAUUAAUGCAAUUUAUCUUUAAAACCUUUAAACGUUUUUAAUAUAUAUAAGAGAUAUGUUACAGUUUUGUUGGUUUUUUUUUUCUUUUUUUUCUUUUUAAAAGUCUGAUAAAGCUGCAGUAUCAUGGUUUUUUCACAGGAACUUCUUGCCCUUUCAAGAACAUUCAGAAAAGUAUCCACCCAUAGAUUUAAUUAUUUUGUAAUAAGCAUCCUAGAACUACCAGCACGUUUUACUAACAGUCCACACACCAUUGUCAUCAUCAUAAGCAUCUUCUACUCUCAAUUUUUUUUUCUAUUUUUUUUUCCGUUUGUUUGUUUGUUUAUAAAAAAGAGGGAGUUUUGGAAGCUUCGUAUUAAAGUACAGUGUAAAAACUAGCCUAGCACUAGAAUGGAGUCGCCCGUUAUUAUUUAUAGCAUGCACCCGCUGUCACACCACCACCCCCCAGCCCUCUCCCCUCGGCGGGCGGCGGCCCCGGCCCCGCCGGCCCCCCCCGUUCGUGCCCGGCCCGGCCCGGGCUCCCCCCGGCCCGCGGCGCUCAGGAGAAGAUGCGGAUGGCCUGGGUGACGGCGCUGUGGCACACGGGGCACUGCGGCUCCGUCUUCUCGCAGAUGCGGUUGGCGCACUCCAUGCAGAAGAGGUUGUGGCCGCAGGGCACCAGAGCCGCGAUCACCUCGCUCUCGAAGCACACCGAGCAGUCGCGGCUGCCCUUCCGCCGCACGCCGGAGGAGGAACAGGAGGAGCUGGACGAGGAGCUGGAGGAGGAGGAGGAGGAGGCGGAGGAGUCGGAGGGCAGCCCGGGCAGGUGGGCGCCCAGCCCGUUGGCGUACAGCGGGUAGGAGGCGGCCAGCAGCCGCCCGCCGGGGUCGCUGCGCACCCGCCGCGCCAGCGGGUGCUCGGUGCCGGCCGCGCUGCCGUGCAGGGGCGGGGAGAGCCGCGCCGGGGGCGGGGCGGCGCCGCGCCGGGGGCCGCUCACCAGCAGCGCCAGGUUGGCAUUGGCGGGCGCGGCGCCCGGGAAGGCGGCGGCGGCGGCGGGCGAGGGCGCGGGCGAGGGCGGCGCGGCGGGGCCGCGCUCGAACUGCGGCCAGAGGAGGGCGGCCCCGGGCGGCGGGGCGGGCGCCAGGUCGAAGCCGGGCGGCGAGUCGAAGGGCAGCUCGGAGCAGCAGUCCGGGGAGGAGAGGACGUCGCCGCCGCCCCCGCCGUACACGUAGCCGUUGGCGCUGUUGUUGUUGUUGUUGCCGUUGUGCGAGAAGCUCAGCGCCGGGCUCGGGGGGCUGUAGUCGGCCAGGCGGGCGCUGCCGCCCCCCCCGGUGCCGCCCCCGAAGUAGGAGUCGGUGGAGGCGCUGCCCAGCGAGCUGGAGCUGUCGUUGCGGUAGUUGCAGAAGGGCUUGCGGCCCGGGGUGGGUGUGAUGCUGGGCGGCGUGGGCUUGCUCCAGAGGCUGCCCGUGCCGUUCAGCUCGAAGCCCACGUCCGUGCCGUUGGCGUGAAAGUCGUUCUCGUCCGUCAGCUCGAUGAUGCCGCCGGUGCGCAUGGCGAUGUGCGCCUCGAUCUCCUCCCGGGCCCGGUCCACGUUCUCUGGCAUGCCCGUCACCUCAAAGACCGGCUCCUUGUCCCGGCUCGGGGUCACGAUGUACGUGUGCGUCUGUUGCUGGAUGCGUUUGAUGGUGGCCCCCUUAGGCCCCACGACCAAGCCCACCACGCGAUAAGGCACCCGCACCUGGAUGGUGGUUUGGCCGGGCAGGUUCGGGGGGCCGGGAACGGUGCCGUUCAGGGCUGUGUUCUUGUUCCGCGAGGCUCGGAUCAUGGAGAAGUGCUCGGCCGCAGAGAUGAUCUCCCUGCGGGCCAUGGCCACAUCUUCCUUUCUGCCCGUCACAACAAAGAGCGGCUCCUCCCCGCGAACCGGGGUCUUGAUGUAGGUGUUGGUCUUUGCCCGCAGAGCUUUGAUUUUACAACCUGGGAACGAGAUGCGGGAGAUGGAGGGCGAAGGGGUGGGGGAGGAAGGGGAGGUGGUGGGGGAGAACCGGUUACAACCCAUUGUUUGGGUGCAGCUAGGGAGGGGGACAAAAAANNNNNNNNNNNNNNNNNNNNNNNNNNNNNNNNNNNNNNNNNNNNNNNNNNNNNNNNNNNNNNNNNNNNNNNNNNNNNNNNNNNNNNNNNNNNNNNNNNNNNNNNN